UUUGCUAAUGAAAACAGUGCUUCCGAAAUUAAUGUUCAAAAAGAAACAAGUUUUGAAAGUUGUAAAGAAAUUGAGAAGAUUAAUGAGCCGAUUGCCGCUGAUAAGGACAUAGUUAAAAACAUUUUUUCUAAAUCUGCACUGAAAACAAAAUUAGAUAUUGUAAGAGAACAGUUGCCUAAAGUUCAAUCAAAUACUGUUGAUACUUCUACACAAAAAACAAUAAUUAUGUUAUUAACUAUGAUAAAAGAGUUUACAAUGUUAUGGUUGGUAAAAUUCAACUAAAAAACACAAGUAGUGGGAUAGCAAUGGAAUUUUAGAACAUAUGAAUGUAAAAUAUAUUGGUAAAACUAAAGUCAAACCAAAUGCUGUUGAAGAAGGUGUCAGGCUGUGUGUACAGUCAAACCAAAUGCUGUUGAAGAAGGUGUCAGGAGGAAAAGAAAUAGAGUGGAACUGACUUCAGUAAUUUAUAUAGUAAAAAUCAUUUAUUGAGGAGCUUUUCCACAUCCAAAAGCACCAAGGAAUUCAAAUUCACCAAUGCCUGCACCCACAUCAGUUUUCUUGUCAUAUUGACCCCAGGUCCAUG